rnacentral:rRNA from 1 species
GAACGGUAACAGGUCUUCGGAUGCUGACGAGUGGCGAACGGGUGAGUAAUACAUCGGAACGUGCCCGAGAGUGGGGGAUAACGAAGCGAAAGCUUUGCUAAUACCGCAUACGAUCUCAGGAUGAAAGCAGGGGACCGCAAGGCCUUGCGCUCACGGAGCGGCCGAUGGCAGAUUAGGUAGUUGGUGGGAUAAAAGCUUACCAAGCCGACGAUCUGUAGCUGGUCUGAGAGGACGACCAGCCACACUGGGACUGAGACACGGCCCAGACUCCUACGGGAGGCAGCAGUGGGGAAUUUUGGACAAUGGGCGCAAGCCUGAUCCAGCCAUGCCGCGUGCAGGAUGAAGGCCUUCGGGUUGUAAACUGCUUUUGUACGGAACGAAAAGACUCUGGUUAAUACCUGGGGUCCAUGACGGUACCGUAAGAAUAAGCACCGGCUAACUACGUGCCAGCAGCCGCGGUAAUACGUAGGGUGCGAGCGUUAAUCGGAAUUACUGGGCGUAAAGCGUGCGCAGGCGGUUAUGUAAGACAGAUGUGAAAUCCCCGGGCUCAACCUGGGAACUGCAUUUGUGACUGCAUAGCUAGAGUACGGCAGAGGGGGAUGGAAUUCCGCGUGUAGCAGUGAAAUGCGUAGAUAUGCGGAGGAACACCGAUGGCGAAGGCAAUCCCCUGGGCCUGUACUGACGCUCAUGCACGAAAGCGUGGGGAGCAAACAGG